rnacentral:rRNA from 1 species
GACGAACGCUGGCGGCGUGCUUAACACAUGCAAGUCGAACGGUAAGGCCCUUUCGGGGGUACACGAGUGGCGAACGGGUGAGUAACACGUGGGCGAUCUGCCCUGCACUUUGGGAUAAGCCUGGGAAACUGGGUCUAAUACCGGAUAGGACUACGCGAUGCAUGUCGUGUGGUGGAAAGCUUUUGCGGUGUGGGAUGGGCCCGCGGCCUAUCAGCUUGUUGGUGGGGUGAUGGCCUACCAAGGCGACGACGGGUAGCCGGCCUGGGAGGGUGUCCGGCCACACUGGGACUGAGCUACGGCCCGGACUCCUGCGGGAGGCAGCAGUGGGGAAUCUUGCACACUGGGCGCAAGCCUGAUGCAGCGACGCCGGGUGGGGGAUGACGGCCUUCGGGUUGUAAACCCCUUUCAGCACAGACGAAGCGUAAGGGACGGAAUGUGCAGAAGACGCACGGGCCAACUACGU